AUAUGAUAUAAUAAAUAAUGUUUAAAAGGUAGUGUAUUUUAUAUACUUUCUAUUAUUUUAGCAACAAAUCCUACUUAAAUAAAAAAAACUGUGUAUGUUUGCAUUAGUUCCAGUCUAUUUACCUCAGGGUUUCUGUAGCUCUUAAUUUUACUAUAAAUCCAUCUGCUUUAAUAUUUUUAUCGCUUUGAUUACUUAAAAUCCUGAUUGCAGUACUCUCCACUAAGUCUGUUCCUGACCACCUACUCCUCCUCCCUCAGUUUAAUUUUAAUUUAAAACUUGAUUUAAAUUUAUUUUUUUUUUAAAUCUGGGAGAAGUUACCAGGGGAGAGGGUAGACAUGGAAGAACUGGAAAAUGAGUGUUACCGGGAUGCAUGAUGAGAAAUUCACAGAGAAUCAAUGAAGAAUAUACAUUUUCACAAGAAAAAAAGAUAGAAAACAAAAAGAAAAGAAAGCAAGGGUAUAUUUUAACUAGUAGUUUCCAGGAAUAAGGUACACAGGAAGGAAAUCAUGGUGAUGUUACUCACAAUGAAGUAGCCCAGGGAAUAGCUUGUUCAAUUUAGAAAGUGGCUUAAUUUGCUACUAUUGCUAUGAUAAAACACUGAUGAAAAGCAACUUAUGGAGGACAGGUUACACUUCAUGAUUUACUUCUAGUUAUCAGUUAAUUACUGAGAAAUGUCAGGGCCCAAACUGAAGCAGGGUAGGAACCUGGAGGCAAGAAAUGAAGCAGAAACUGUGUAAGAGCUGUGCUUCCUGUCCUGCACCUCAUAUAUUUCUUUGUGUGAUUAAUAGCUCAAGGGUGGCACCAUCCUGGAGAUCUGGGCCCUACAAUUUCCACUGUUAAUCAAGACAACAUCCCAUAGACUUCCCUACACACUAGGACAAUCUGAUGUAGGCAUUUCCUCAACUAAGAUCCCUCUUCUCACCAACUUCUUCUCUUAGACAUUUUUCUAUUUCUUUAAUAAAACACCAGGAGUAAGGCAACUUAUAGAAGUAGAUAUUUAUUUGGGAUUAGAGCGGUAGAGAGAUUACAUUCCUUCAAAGUCAUGAGAGAGAAGCAUGGCUGCAGGAAGGAAGGACAACCAAACAGGAAUCAGAGACCUGGGGGCUCUUAUCUUAGGCAGCAAACACGAAGCACAGAGAGUACACAGCAAAUGGCACCUAGCUUCUGUAAUGUUAACUCUAACCAAUGACAUACUUCCUCCAGGAAAGCCAAGCCACUUAAACCACCCAAAAGGUCUCACAAAGAUGGCAUCCUAUUUAAACCAUCACAAUGAAACUCCUCCCCACACCCUGCAAAAAAUCACCAAUUCGAGAAACCUUUGAACUCCUUAAUUUGAUUCACUCACAGGUAUUCUGGAAGCAAAUCAGUUCUGAAAUGUUACUUUGCUUUACUAGCUCCUCCAUUCUUUUCAAGAUGUAUGAAAUUUUAACUAUGUUAUGUAUGUUGCAAAAGAGUCUCCAUUUUAGACAGAGACUUCAUUUCACAGGUUGAUAUCGGCUUGUAGUAACUGCUAUUUUCUUCAUCAUUUUAGAUUUCCAUUUUUUAUUGAUUUCAAUUUUGUAAAGUACUUGAAAUUACAAAGGAUCUUGUUUUUGCCUUGUGGUGUUACAGAUGUCUUUUAUACAAAUCAUGAUUGACAAGAAUGUAGAUGUUUUGGGAGACGAUGACAGUACAAUUUGUAAGGAUAUUCAAAAGAGAUCUGAUGAACUUAAGAUGUCACUAAAUACUGCUGGAUGUGACAAUGGAAAAACUUCAACAUAUAAUGUUCCACAGAGGAACUAUUUGUUACAAAUAGUUUCACUCAUUAUACUUACUUUUAUGUUGUGUAUCAUAUAUAUUUAUCUAUUAUAAUAAAUUUUAAUAAAGUGUAUUAUUGCUUUGACUCCAA